rnacentral:rRNA from 1 species
UGGGGAAUAUUGCACAAUGGGCGAAAGCCUGAUGCAGCGACGCCGCGUGAGGGAUGACGGCCUUCGGGUUGUAAACCUCUUUCAGCAGGGAAGAAGCGAAAGUGACGGUACCUGCAGAAGAAGCGCCGGCUAACUACGUGCCAGCAGCCGCGGUAAUACGUAGGGCGCAAGCGUUGUCCGGAAUUAUUGGGCGUAAAGAGCUCGUAGGCGGUUAGUCGCGUCUGCUGUGAAAACUCGAGGCUCAACCUCGGGCUUGCAGUGGGUACGGGCUGACUAGAGUGCGGUAGGGGUGACUGGAAUUCCUGGUGUAGCGGUGGAAUGCGCAGAUAUCAGGAGGAACACCGAUGGCGAAGGCAGGUCACUGGGCCGCAACUGACGCUGAGGAGCGAAAGCAUGGGGAGCGAACAGGAUUAGAUACCCUGGUAGUCCAUGCCGUAAACGUUGGGCACUAGGUGUGGGAUCCAUUCCACGGAUUCCGUGCCGCAGCAAACGCAUUAAGUGCCCCGCCUGGGGAGUACGGCCGCAAGGCUAAAACUUAAAUGAAUUGACGGGGUCAUAGCUGUUUCCU